rnacentral:rRNA from 1 species
AAAGCUCUUUCGCCUGUGAUGAUAAUGACAGUAGCAGGUAAAGAAACCCCGGCUAACUCCGUGCCAGCAGCCGCGGUAAUACGGAGGGGGUUAGCGUUGUUCGGAAUUACUGGGCGUAAAGCGCGCGUAGGCGGAUUAGAAAGUUGGGGGUGAAAUCCCGGGGCUCAACCUCGGAACUGCCUCCAAAACUGCUAGUCUAGAGUUCGAGAGAGGUGAGUGGAAUUCCGAGUGUAGAGGUGAAAUUCGUAGAUAUUCGGAGGAACACCAGUGGCGAAGGCGGCUCACUGGC